rnacentral:rRNA from 1 species
GAUGAACGCUGGCGGCGUGCUUAACACAUGCAAGUCGAACGAUGAAGCCCAGCUUGCUGGGUGGAUUAGUGGCGAACGGGUGAGUAACACGUGAGUAACCUGCCCUUAACUCUGGGAUAAGCCUGGGAAACUGGGUCUAAUACCGGAUAGGAGCGCCUACCGCAUGGUGGGUGUUGGAAAGAUUUAUCGGUUUUGGAUGGACUCGCGGCCUAUCAGCUUGUUGGUGAGGUAAUGGCUCACCAAGGCGACGACGGGUAGCCGGCCUGAGAGGGUGACCGGCCACACUGGGACUGAGACACGGCCCAGACUCCUACGUGAGGCAGCAGUGGGGAAUAUUGCACAAUGGGCGAAAGCCUGAUGCAGCGACGCCGCGUGAGGGAUGACGGCCUUCGGGUUGUAAACCUCUUUCAGUAGGGAAGAAGCGAAAGUGACGGUACCUGCAGAAGAAGCACCGGCUAACUACGUG